GCCUAGCGAGCAUGACAGCCCAGUACUACUCUAUAAGUAGCAGGUGCCACUUUUGAGUGCCAUACCUAGUUUUUACAGCAUUUUUCCACUUUUGUACUUUCUUAGAGAUAUUUUCCAGCAUUGUUCUUAGGAUCUUUUAUGCCCUAGAUUUCAUUUCUCUUCAUCUUGUAACCAUCUUCUACAAAAAGAAGGUGGAUUCCCAUCCAACAUCGAUUAUCCGACUUGGAUGUUGAUCAACCUUCUUCCGAAACUUGCC
rnacentral:lncRNA from 1 species